UAAUACAGAGGGUGCAAGCGUUGUUCGGAAUUAUUGGGCGUAAAGCGCGUGUAGGCGGCUUAGCAAGUCGGGCGUGAAAGCCCUCGGCUCAACCGAGGAAGUGCACCCGAAACUGCUGAGCUUGAGUGCCGGAGAGGAUGGCGGAAUUCCCCAAGUAGAGGUGAAAUUCGUAGAUAUGGGGAGGAACACCGGUGGCGAAGGCGGCCAUCUGGACGGUAACUGACGCUGAGACGCGAAAGCGUGGGGAGCAAACAGGAUUAGAUACCCUGGUAGUCCACGCCGUAAACGAUGAGAACUAGAUGUCGCGGGUGUUGACCCCUGCGGUGUCGCAGCUAACGCAUUAAGUUCUCCGCCUGGGAAGUACGGUCGCAAGAUUA
rnacentral:rRNA from 1 species